AGGAUGAACGCUGGCGGCGUGCCUAACACAUGCAAGUCGAGCGAUCUUCUUCGGAAGAGAGCGGCGGACGGGUGAGUAACGCGUGGGUAACCUGCCCUGUACACACGGAUAACAUACCGAAAGGUAUGCUAAUACGGGAUAAUAUAUGAGAGUUGCAUGACUUUCAUAUCAAAGCUUUUGCGGUACAGGAUGGACCCGCGUCUGAUUAGCUAGUUGGUAAGGUAACGGCUUACCAAGGCGACGAUCAGUAGCCGACCUGAGAGGGUGAUCGGCCACACUGGAACUGAGACACGGUCCAGACUCCUACGGGAGGCAGCAGUGGGGAAUAUUGCACAAUGGGCGAAAGCUUGAUGCAGCAACGCCGCGUGAGCGAUGAAGGCCUUCGGGUCGUAAAGCUCUGUCCUCAAGGAAGAUAAUGACGGUACUUGAGGAGGAAGCCCCGGCUAACUACGUGCCAGCAGCCGCGGUAAUACGUAGGGGGCUAGCGUUAUCCGGAAUUACUGGGCGUAAAGGGUGCGUAGGCGGUCUUUCAAGCCAGAAGUGAAAGGCUACGGCUCAACCGUAGUAAGCUUUUGAAACUAAAGAACUUGAGUGCAGGAGAGGAGAGUAGAAUUCCCAGUGUAGCGGUGAAAUGCGUAGAUAUUAGGAGGAAUACCAGUAGCGAAGGCGGCUCUCUGGACUGUAACUGACACUGAGGCACGAAAGCGUGGGGAGCAAACAGGAUUAGAUACCCUGGUAGUCCACGCCGUAAACGAUGAGUACUAGGUGUCGGGGGUUACCCCCCUCGGUGCCGCAGCUAACGCAUUAAGUACUCCGCCUGGGAAGUACGCUCGCAAGAGUGAAA
rnacentral:rRNA from 1 species